UACGUAGGGUGCAAGCGUUGUCCGGAAUUAUUGGGCGUAAAGAGCUUGUAGGCGGUUUGUCGCGUCUGCUGUGAAAUUUCGGGGCUCAACCCCGAACUUGCAGUGGGUACGGGCAGACUAGAGUGUGGUAGGGGAGACUGGAAUUCCUGGUGUAGCGGUGAAAUGCGCAGAUAUCGGGAGGAACACCAGUGGCGAAGGCGGUUGCCUGGAGCUUUGCUGACGCUGAUGCGCGAAAGCGUGGGGAGCGAUCCGG
rnacentral:rRNA from 1 species